rnacentral:rRNA from 1 species
AACGAACGCUGGCGGCAGGCCUAACACAUGCAAGUCGAACGCCGUAGCAAUACGGAGUGGCAGACGGGUGAGUAACGCGUGGGAACAUACCCCUCGGUUCGGAAUAACUCAGGGAAACUCGAGCUAAUACCGGAUACGUCCGAGGUUUUGAUCGACCUUGGAGAAAGAUUUAUCGCCGAAAGGAUUGGGCCCGCGUCUGAUUAGCUUGUUGGUGAGGUAAUGGCUCACCAAGGCGACGAUCAGUAGCUGGUCUGAGAGGAUGAUCAGCCACAUUGGGACUGAGACACGGCCCAAACUCCUACGGGAGGCAGCAGUGGGAAUAUUGGACAAUGGGCGAAAGCCUGAUCCAGCCAUGCCGCGUGAGUGAUGAAGGCC